rnacentral:misc_RNA from 1 species
GAGUUCACAUGAGCUAUUAAUCACCUGUAGCAAAUUUCAAAAUGAAUGCAGGUUACUAACUCUUAUCAAAAAAAGAAUUUGGAGAAGUAAAACAAUGACCUGGACAGGGUGCUUCAAUAAAGAGUUUCGACAAUAAUUUAGAGUAUGAUAAUGUUGGUUGUAAGUUACUUAUGCUACUUGACCAAUCUAUAAAGAGUGACACUUAAUCAAAUGCCACCUAGCACUUUCAAAUCAAUAAUUUUAUACAAUAUUACUAAGCAAUUUUACUGCAUGUGAUGCAGAAUACACUCCUAAACAUUUUAGUAGUACUUAUUUUAGGAAAAAUAUAGAAAAUAAGAAUUUUAGUUUAAUAAGAAUUUUAGUUUUUUAUGAUUGUGUAUCCUAAAUAGAUUAGGUUCCUAA